GACAGAGGGUGCAAGCGUUGUUCGGAAUUAUUGGGCGUAAAGGGCGCGUAGGCGGUCCUUCAAGUCAGAUGUGAAAGCCCAGGGCUCAACCCUGGAAGUGCAUCUGAUACUGUAGGACUUGAAUCCUGGAGAGGGUGGUGGAAUUCCCAGUGUAGAGGUGAAAUUCGUAGAUAUUGGGAGGAACACCAGUGGCGAAGGCGGCCACCUGGACAGAGAUUGACGCUGAGGCGCGAAAGCGUGGGGAGCAAACAGG
rnacentral:rRNA from 1 species